AGAGUUUGAUCAUGGCUCAGGACGAACGCUGGCGGCGUGCUUAACACAUGCAAGUCGAACGGUGAACCAGGGCUUGCCCUGGGGAUCAGUGGCGAACGGGUGAGUAACACGUGACCAACCUGCCCCUAACUCUGGGAUAACCCCGGGAAACCGGAGCUAAUACCGGAUACGAGACCGAGUGGCAUCACACGGUCUGGAAAGUUUUUCGGUUAGGGAUGGGGUCGCGGCCUAUCAGCUUGUUGGUGGGGUAAUGGCCUACCAAGGCGACGACGGGUAGCCGGCCUGAGAGGGCGACCGGCCACACUGGGACUGAGACACGGCCCAGACUCCUACGGGAGGCAGCAGUGGGGAAUAUUGCGCAAUGGGCGAAAGCCUGACGCAGCGACGCCGCGUGAGGGAUGACGGCCUUCGGGUUGUAAACCUCUUUCAGCAGGGAAGAAGCGAAAGUGACGGUACCUGCAGAAGAAGCACCGGCUAACUACGUGCCAGCCGCCGCGGUAAUAC
rnacentral:rRNA from 1 species